AGUGGCGGACGGGUGAGUAACGCGUAGGAAUCUACCUGAUAGUGGGGGAUAGCCCGAAGAAAUUCGGAUUAAUACCGCAUAAUCUAUUCGUAGUAAAGUGGGGGACUUUCGAGCCUCACGCUAUCAGAUGAGCCUGCGUAAGAUUAGCUAGUUGGUAGGGUAAAAGCCUACCAAGGCGACGAUCUUUAGCUGGUCUGAGAGGAUGAUCAGCCACAUCGGGACUGAGACACGGCCCGAACUCCUACGGGAGGCAGCAGUGGGGAAUAUUGGACAAUGGGGGCAACCCUGAUCCAGCAAUACCGCGUGUGUGAAGAAGGCCUGAGGGUUGUAAAGCACUUUCAAUUGUGAAGAAAAGCUAGUGGUUAAUAGCCAUUAGCCUUGACGUUAACUUUAGAAGAAGCACCGGCUAACUCCGUGCCAGCAGCCGCGGUAAUACGGAGGGUGCAAGCGUUAAUCGGAAUUACUGGGCGUAAAGCGUGCGUAGGCGGUUUAUUAAGUCAGAUGUGAAAGCCCCGGGCUUAACCUGGGAACUGCAUUUGAAACUGGUCAACUAGAGUAUGGUAGAGGAAAGUGGAAUUUCUGGUGUAGCGGUGAAAUGCGUAGAUAUCAGAGACAUCAAUGGCGAAGGCACUUUCUGACAUACUGACGCUGAGGUACGAAGCGUGGGUAGCAAACAGAUUAGAUACCUUGGAU
rnacentral:rRNA from 1 species